UCCCCGUCUCCCUCCUCGCCUCACUCUUCUCUUGCACCAAGCUGCUUGAUUUAGAGCUUCACCAUAUCUCUUCCAAUCAAGGUGUCUAUUUCUCUCCCUAUUUUCCCAAUCUACAUUUCUCUCUAUCUCUGUGGAAAAAAACCCUAGAUCUCGCCGCUGCCAGAGAGUCGAAGCUCCGCCCUUUGAGCUUCAAUCCGCCUUGCCCAUCGCCUCCUCUCGGCGCCUCCACCUAGAUCCCUCUGGUUUUUAAAAAAAAAUUCACCUUCAGAGAUUGAGUAAAAAUAUAUAAAGGCUGUUGGUGAUCGGUAUAAAGGCAAAACAAAAAAGGUAUGAAUAAAAUAAUGGUUCAAAAUUGUGCAACGCAUAAUUUUAAAGCAUUUGGUUUUGUGGUGCAAGGCUUUUGGUGUUUAAGGUAUUGUCAAAGAGUAUGCAGACUUGGGGGAUAAAAAUUAUAAAUGUACUUAUUGUGGUGCUUAUUUUUGGUUAAAAGAAUCUCUUAAACAAAGAUGCACAAAAAAUCAACUUGUUUUUACUCUUUGCUGUCAACAAGGAAAAAUAAGCCUUCCAAUUUCAAAACCAGCUCCAUAUUUAUUAGAUUUAUUGCUUGAUCCAAAUGGAGGUCACAAAAGUUCAUCGUUUCGAGAAAAUAUUAGAGCUUACAAUUCCAUGUUUUCCUUUACUUCUAUGGGUGCCAAAAUUGAUCAUUCAAUCAAUGAUGGAUCAAGUCCUUACAUUUUUAAAAUUAGUGGUCAAGUUUGUCAUUUAAUGGGCUCUCUUUUACCUCCUGAUAAUCAGCCUCCAAAAUUUGCUCAGUUAUAUGUUUAUGAUACGUACAAUGAAGUACAAAAUCG
rnacentral:sRNA from 1 species